rnacentral:lncRNA from 1 species
GGAAGAUUAUGGGAUGGAGCUGGAACCAGGUUGAAUGGUGGUGGGCUUUUAUUAGCAGUGCCGUGGGGGCGGCGGUGAAGGGCUGUUGCUGGACAAAUUGAGAGCUGGACAAAUAGAUCUGCAGUUUUGGAGCCAGUUUCUGAAUUGGGCGGGGGAGAGUUGGAGGAAAGAGGGAUGCACUACCCUCCUUAGCCUCUUAGCGGGCUUAGAAGGGGAGGGCCCAGAGAACUACAAUACCCAGAAGCCCCAAAGCGUCCCAGCGGCUCAGAAAGGGCUUUGGGGAGCGCGCCCUCAAGGAGUGUGGCGGAAUUGGCAAGAGGCAAAAACAAACUGCUCUCCUGCUUUGGUGUUUCGCCAGAUCUUUGUUCCUAAGGAAAGCUUAUAGGCAGAAGAAAAGUUGUGUGGUAAAGAGUAUGGACCUGACAGUCCUGAAGUUUGAGUUUAACACAGAGAUAUGUAAGGCAAGAAGUGAUAUUCAGCAGAAGUGGAACUUCAUGAAGUGGUACCAGAAAGACUGUCCAAGGAACAUUCUCCCAGGAAAUCAAUUUUGGAGAACACCAUAA